rnacentral:rRNA from 1 species
GCCGGCGGNGUGUUUANACUGCACUCGAGCGGAGGUAAUCAGACUUGCUCUGAUUACCUUAGCGGCGGACGGGUGAGUAACACGUGGGUAACCUGCCUAUAAGACUGGGAUAACUCCGGGAAACCGGGGCUAAUACCGGAUAACAUCAAAAGCUGCAUGGCUUUUGGUUGAAAGGCGGCUUCGGCUGUCACUUAUAGAUGGACCCGCGGCGCAUUAGCUAGUUGGUGGGGUAACGGCCCACCAAGGCCACGAUGCGUAGCCGACCUGAGAGGGUGAUCGGCCACACUGGGACUGAGACACGGCCCAGACUCCUACGGGAGGCAGCAGUAGGGAAUCUUCCGCAAUGGACGAAAGUCUGACGGAGCAACGCCGCGUGAGUGAAGAAGGUUUUCGGAUCGUAAAACUCUGUUGUCAGGGAAGAACAAGUAUGGGAGUAACUGCCCGUACCUUGACGGUACCUGGCCAGAAAGCCACGGGUAACUACGUGCCAGCAGCCGCGGUAAUACGUAGGUGGCAAGCGUUGUCCGAAUUUUGGCGUAAGCGCGCCAGGCGGANUUUAAGUUUGUGUGAAGCCCCGUUACCG